CAAAAAAGUGGACUGUCAAAACUGACAAUGGCUUUCUUUCAUAAAGGUUUUAUAAAAGCUCAUCCUCUCAUCUCUGGGAUUCUGUAUGUCUUAAGACUGUACUUGGCCACUUCAACUGUAACACCGGUGACGACUGCAGGUAAU